UACUAGAGUAGCACUCGCAUAUCAAUAAGCGGAGGAAAAGAAACUAACAAGGAUUCCCCUAGUAACGGCGAGUGAAGCGGGAAGAGCUCAAAUUUGAAACCUUAAAGGGUUUCCCUUUACGAAUUGUAGUUUAAAGAAGUGUUUUCUGUUGAGGUUUUGGUAAAAGUUCUUUGGAAUAGGACAUCAUAGAGGGUGAGAAUCCCGUAUUUGACCUUUACUUUCAACUUUGUGAUACACUUUCAAAGAGUCGGAUUGUUUGGGAAUGCAGUCCAAAAUGGGUGGUAAAUUUCAUCUAAAGCUAAAUAUUGGCGAGAGACCGAUAGCGAACAAGUACCGUGAGGGAAAGAUGGAAAGAACUUUGAAAAGAGAGUUAACAGUACGUGAAAUUGUCAAAAGGGAAGCGUUUGACACCAGUGUUGUUUUUCUGAAAAUCAAUUAAAGAACUGUUUAUGCUAAGCUGUUUAGACUUUAUCAGCUAUCUGUUUAGUUUUGAGCUUUUCUUUAAUGCACUUUUCAGUUAACAAGUCAACAUCAAUUUCUUUUGCUGUAAAAAAGCUUGAGGAAGGUGGCUUGAGAUUCGUCUUAAGUGUUUAUAGCCUCUUGCCUAUGCAGUCGGAGAGAUUGAGGUCUGCAGCGUAGAUCCUUCGGGGCUAAAUGCAUUUGUGCUAAGUUAUAGCAUUUUAUAGACAACUUGUUGACUAUGAUUUGUCUUGUAGCUUACUCGCUUAUGUUAUUUUACCUACGCUUAGGAUGUUGAGUCAUCACACAUCUCU
rnacentral:rRNA from 1 species